rnacentral:tRNA from 1 species
GGAGGCGUCGCCUAGCCCGGUUUAUGGCGCCGCACUGCUAAUGCGGUUUGGGUUUAAACCCAUCGGGGGUUCAAAUCCCCCCGCCUCCG